UACAGAGGUCCCAAGCGUUGUUCGGAUUCAUUGGGCGUAAAGGGUGCGUAGGUGGCAUGGUAAGUCGGGUGUGAAAUCCCGGGGCUCAACCCCGGAACUGCACUCGAUACUGCCGUGCUCGAGUACUGGAGAGGAGACUGGAAUUCAUGGUGUAGCAGUGAAAUGCGUAGAGAUCAUGAGGAAGACCAGUGGCGAAGGCGGGUCUCUGGACAGUUCCUGACACUGAGGCACGAAGGCCAGGGGAGCAAACGGG
rnacentral:rRNA from 1 species